GCUGGAUUGGGGGGGGGAGGGGUUGGUGCACUUGGGCUAGGAGGCAGUAGUGUGGGACCAUGCGGUUCUUAGAUGGGCUGCUCAAGAUACACUCACAGAGGAAUGAGCUCCACCUCUGAGGACAGGAGGGAGCAGCAGUGGAAAAUGAUGCUGUGAAGUGGCUUGGCUGGACGCCUCCACCAGCGAUGUGACCACGUGCUGAGCAAGAAGGAAGCAGCACUGGGCAGCUCUGAAAGGUCUAAAGUGAGGAAAGAUCCAAGGAUACUUAAGUGACAAGUCCCUGGCAAGGAGAUGUGGGUGAAGUUUACUCACUAAAACAGCAAAACUCCAAUUUUCUCUACCAAAACUCACCUGAAAGGCUUACUGAGAUCUGGGCCAUAAUUUGUGUUGCUGUGUAUGCUAUAUAAUAUACUGUGCCUCUGUCUAUAAUAAAUAGGUGA